rnacentral:rRNA from 1 species
CACGUAGGAGGCGAGCGUUGUCCGGAAUCAUUGGGCGUAGAGAGCUCGUAGGCGGUUCGUCGCGUCGGCUGUGAAAACCCGGAGCUCAACUCCGGGCCUGCAGUCGAUACGGGCGGACUUGAGUGUUGCAGGGGAGACUGGAAUUCCUGGUGUAGCGGUGAAAUGCGCAGAUAUCAGGAGGAACACCGGUGGCGAAGGCGGGUCUCUGGGCAACUACUGACGCUGAGGAGCGAAAGCGUGGGGAGCGAACAGG